rnacentral:lncRNA from 1 species
AGUUCGCUCCAAGGAAUAUUCAGAUCUUCUUGGUCAAAGCUCAUUACUGGAUCAUCUAAUUGCUUGAAGUUAAUAGUACAUUGUAUUGGAUCUGAGUAUGGAAAAGCUUGAUAAACAUCUUUGUGCAUGUGAGAUGCAACAGAACUUGGCAGAGGAGAACUUUUGAUCAAGUGUGUUGAGUUGAUGGCUUUUGGCAACAAAUUUGAAGAGUUCAGCAUCUGAAGAUCUUUAUCACAUCCAAUAUUCCACAAAGUGCUCUGGUGCAGAGGUGAAAGAGCAGAUUCUUUGUUGUUAAUUAAGGUGGAAAAGUGGUUGUUCUUGUUAAAGUAUUUUCUAUCAAAUGCUUUCCUAGG